GCCUGCUUGCCAACUAUGACGAUAAACAAAUUUCGUAAUAACUAUUACGGACGUGGGUGCAGUACCCACCACGUCCAUUAAUACAACUUAUGUGUGAAAUAAGAUCGACGGGCGUCUAAAGGCUAUUCUUUUGUUUGGGAUUGUUCCACCUUAAUAGGCUAAUUUAUAAUUACUAACGA
rnacentral:tmRNA from 1 species